GCUCCGCUCCCCCCAGGCCUCAACCCCGCUGGCUACCCGCGCUGAAACCUCACCUGCCGCCGGCUGCAAACGGACUGCGCUCCAGGUUCUGCCAAAACAAGUGAUUGCAACAUAUAAUUGGACCAGCAACUAGAUGAUGUGACUCUUCUCUUCUGCCUGAGCCCUGGAUAUACUGUGUAUUAUGACACAUGGCUGAGUCCAACAUCAAGGUGAUGUGACUGACCACUUCUGCCUGGGCCAUGCCGAAAAAAGGAGAUUGUGACAUAUCACUGCAUUCAAUACCUAGAUGAUGGUUUCGCCGUGUUGGCCGGACUGGUCUGCAGCUCCUGACCACGAGUGAUCUGCUAGCCUCGGCCUCCCGAGGUGCCGGGAUUGCAGACGGAGUCUCGCUCACUUAGUGCUCAAUGUUGCCCAGGCUGGA
rnacentral:lncRNA from 1 species